CCGCUGAACUUAAGCAUAUCAUUAAGCGGAGGAAAAGAAACUAACAAGGAUUCCCCUAGUACGGGCGACGGAAGCGGGAAAAGCCCACAGUGGUAAUCUCCGUCCUUCGGGCGGCGAAUUGUGAUCUGAAGGCAGGUAGCCGAACCGAAUGUCCAGACGCAGAAGUGCCGCCGAGGCGGCCGCCAAAGAGGGUGAGAGCCCCGUCUGCGGUGUUUGGAUGAGGUAAGGUUGCAGGUCAAAGAGUCGUGUACUUUGAUACUAGUGCACAAAGCGGGAGAUAAACUUCUUCUAAGGCUAAAUAAACGUAGGAGACCGAUAGCGAACAAGUACUGUGANGGAAAGAUGAAAAGCACUUUGGAAAGAGCGUCAAAAGACUUGAAAUCGUUGAGGCGGACCCGGUAGAAAUGAAUUAUGGGGCUGGACACGGGCGGGUCUGCGAAAGCGGGCAAGUUUGUGGACGGCAGCAAGACAAGAUGAAGUGGUCGGAUGUCAGAGGCAGUGUGUGAAGCCUUUCGGGGCGGUGCAUGCAGGCCGGGCGUCGGGCGGCUUGAGGGGCUUUGUGCGAUCUUGUCAAAAUGGUUUUUACCGACUCGUCUUGAAACACGAACCAAGGAGUCUAAGACUCACGCGAGUGUGGUGGUGGAGAAACCAACACGCGAAAUGAAAGUGAUUGAUGCCAAGCGUGCGCAGCANCGACGGACUUUCGUCUAUAGGCGGAGGUUUGAGUAAGAGCGUGAUUCUAAGGA
rnacentral:rRNA from 1 species